rnacentral:rRNA from 1 species
UACAGAGGUCCCAAGCGUUGUUCGGAUUCACUGGGCGUAAAGGGUGCGUAGGUGGUCGGGUAAGUCUGAUGUGAAAUCCCGAAGCUUAACUUCGGAACUGCAUCGGAUACUAUCUGGCUUGAGGGUUGGAGGGGGGACUGGAAUUCUUGGUGUAGCAGUGAAAUGCGUAGAUAUCAAGAGGAACACCAGUGGCGAAGGCGAGUCCCUGGACAACUCCUGACACUGAGGCACGAAAGCUAGGGGAGCAAACAGG